UCAAAGGAAUUAAUCUUUUGGGUAAACGAACUGUACUGAAUCACUUCAUGAAACGAUUCGUUCGUGAACGUGAACUGGUCGUUCACUGACUGACUAUAGUUUGCAGACUCAGUGAACGAAUCAGUUCAUGUGCUGUUUAUUUUCAAUGAAAUAACAAGACUU